CCCUUAGAUGUUCUGGGCUGCACGCGUGUUACAAUCGGGAGUACAACAAGAUUGCAAAUCCCAGUGGAUGAGUGGUUCUUCGAAAUUUUCUGAAGACUGGGAUAGUUGAUUGAAAUUAUUCAACUCGAACGAGGAAUUCCUUGUAAUUGUAAUUCAUUAUAUUGUAAUGAAUACGUCCCUGCCCGUUGUACACACCGCCCGUCGCUCCUACCGAUUGAACGAUCCGGUGAAUUAUUUGGAGUAGCUCUGGAAGUUGCAGAACUUCCUAUGUCACGAAAUUUUGUAAACCUUAUCGUUUAGAGGAAGGAAAAGUCGUAACA
rnacentral:rRNA from 1 species